CCUGRUCCCCCCCAUUUUUUGGCGCGGGARUCYCCCCCCMMSCMYWGYGGGGGGUUGCCCCGAUUUUUUUCCCCGUGACUGACUCCCCUAGCAGCKUGUGAGAUGGCCCAGAUCGUUUACCGUGAAAAAAUUAGAGUGUUCAAAGCAGGCAGAUUUAACCAUUCUGCCACCGAAUACAUUAGCAUGGGAUAAUGGAAUAGGACCCUGUCCUCCUAUUUACGUGUUGGUUUUUGAGGACCAGGGUAAUGAUUAAUAGGGAUAGUUGGGGGCAUUAAUAUUUAAUUGUCAGAGGUGAAAUUCUUGGAUUUAUGAAAGAUUAACUUCUGCGAAAGCAUCUGCCAAGGAUGUUUUCAUUAAUCAAGAACGAAAGUUAGGGGAUCGAAGACGAUCAGAUACCGUCGUAGUCUUAACCAUAAACGAUGCCGACCAGGGMYUAGGAGWYGUUGAAUACAAAACACCCCCCUUACCCCUAUCAUUUUCCCCAAUUUUUUCMCMUAAAAUGACUCCCCCAGCAGCUUUGAGAUAUACCAGAUCGUMAGCGAGC
rnacentral:rRNA from 1 species